rnacentral:rRNA from 1 species
AGUGGCGAACGGGUGAGUAAUACAUCGGAACAUGUCCUGUAGUGAGGGAUAGCCCGGCGAAAGCCGGAUUAAUACCGCAUACGAUCUGAGGAUGAAAGCGGGGGACCUUCGGGCCUCGCGCUAUAGGGUUGGCCGAUGGCUGAUUAGCUAGUUGGUGGGGUAAAGGCCUACCAAGGCGACGAUCAGUAGCUGGUCUGAGAGGACGACCAGCCACACUGGGACUGAGACACGGCCCAGACUCCUACGGGAGGCAGCAGUGGGGAAUUUUGGACAAUGGGCGAAAGCCUGAUCCAGCAAUGCCGCGUGUGUGAAGAAGGCCUUCGGGUUGUAAAGCACUUUUGUCCGGAAAGAAAUCCUUGGUUCUAAUAUAGCCGGGGGAUGACGGUACCGGAAGAAUAAGCACCGGCUAACUACGUGCCAGCAGCCGCGGUAAUACGUAGGGUGCAAGCGUUAAUCGGAAUUACUGGGCGUAAAGCGUGCGCAGGCGGUUUGCUAAGACCGACGUGAAAUCCCCGGGCUCAACCUGGGAACUGCAUUGGUGACUGGCAGGCUAGAGUAUGGCAGAGGGGGGUAGAAUUCCACGUGUAGCAGUGAAAUGCGUAGAGAUGUGGAGGAAUACCGAUGGCGAANGCAGCCCCCUGGGCCAAUACUGACGCUCAUGCACGAAAGCAUGGGGAGCAAACAGGAUUAGAUACCCUGGUAGUCCACGCCCUANACNAUGUCNACUAGUUGUUGGGGAUUCAUUUCCUUAGUNACGUCGCU